rnacentral:rRNA from 1 species
AAAUUGAAGAGUUUGAUCAUGGCUCAGAUUGAACGCUGGCGGCAGGCCUAACACAUGCAAGUCGAACGGUAACAGGAAUCAGCUUGCUGAUUUGCUGACGAGUGGCGGACGGGUGAGUAAUGUCUGGGAAACUGCCUGAUGGAGGGGGAUAACUACUGGAAACGGUAGCUAAUACCGCAUAAUGUCGCAAGACCAAAGAGGGGGACCUUCGGGCCUCUUGCCAUCGGAUGUGCCCAGAUGGGAUUAGCUAGUAGGUGGGGUAACGGCUCACCUAGGCGACGAUCCCUAGCUGGUCUGAGAGGAUGACCAGCCACACUGGAACUGAGACA